ACCGCUUCCACCUACACCGCCACGGUCACUGCCUCCUCAACCUCCUACUCCACCUCCUCCUCAUAGUUCAAGAUUAUUAUUUUUAAUUUUGAUGUAUUUUGUUAUUUUAAGUGAUUUCCCUAUCCAAAUUUGUUUGCAGGGCACUUGUCCUACUCUUAUCACCAUUUUACUUCCUUUUUCAGCCCUCUAGCCCUUUCCAGGACUUUUUUAGAGCCACUUUAGUGCCCAAAAGUUCGGGUCCCGAUUGACCUCAAUGGGGUUCGGGUUCGGGGUCAAGCUCGGGUCAAGUUCGAGCCCCAAACUCGAACUUUUUGCCGAAGUUCGGCUGAACCUGAACAUCCAGGUGUCCGCUCAACUUUUAGUCUCGAAGUCUCAAAGUGAAUCUGUCAUUGACCUGGCAGCCUGACAUCUAGAACAACCAGACUGGCAUACCUCAUCACUGACCUAGAACAGCCAAACUAGCAUACCUCAUCGCUGACCUAGAACGAUGAGGUAUGCCAGUCCGACAUACCUCAUCCAUAGAAAUAUAAUGAAUACAUACAAUAGGUGGAACACACAUCUGACGAUUCUAGAAAAUAAAACAGAAUCUCAUAGUAUAAUACUGUUGGG